GAAGUGCGGCACGGAGCCAUCAUGCAGUCGAGCGGAUCUUCAUUAGCUUGCUUUUGAAGAUCAGCGGCGGACGGGUGAGUAACACGUGGGCAACCUGCCUGUAAGACUGGGAUAACUUCGGGAAACCGGAGCUAAUACCGGAUAAUCCUUUCCCUCACAUGAGGGAAAGCUGAAAGACGGUUUCGGCUGUCACUUACAGAUGGGCCCGCGGCGCAUUAGCUAGUUGGUGAGGUAACGGCUCACCAAGGCAACGAUGCGUAGCCGACCUGAGAGGGUGAUCGGCCACACUGGGACUGAGACACGGCCCAGACUCCUACGGGAGGCAGCAGUAGGGAAUCUUCCGCAAUGGACGAAAGUCUGACGGAGCAACGCCGCGUGAGCGAUGAAGGCCUUCGGGUCGUAAAGCUCUGUUGUCAGGGAAGAACAAGUACCGGAGUAACUGCCGGUACCUUGACGGUACCUGACCAGAAAGCCACGGCUAACUACGUGCCAGCAGCCGCGGUAAUACGUAGGUGGCAAGCGUUGUCCGGAAUUAUUGGGCGUAAAGCGCGCGCAGGCGGUUCCUUAAGUCUGAUGUGAAAGCCCCCGGCUCAACCGGGGAGGGUCAUUGGAAACUGGGGAACUUGAGUGCAUAAUAGGAGAGCGGAAUUCUUCGUGUACCGAUGGACUGCGUAGAUAUGUGGACGAACACCCGUGAGACAUGCGGCUCUCGGGGAGAAUCUCAACUGCAGCUCGCAAACGUGUCUAGGGCAGUGUCACAAUCCCCCUGGGACUGAUCGCCGUCUACGGAUCAGCGACUAAUCGUAGACGUGGUGAGCCGUUACUCACCAACAAACUAAUGUACCCACGGCCCCAUCGGGUAAUAGAACGCAAAGCUCGUCUUCAAGUAUCUCCUGGGGACGAAAAGAUUACCGGGAUAUAGUGCUCGUUUCCAAGAUGUACCCAACUCUAACGAGUGUGACCGGUGGUAACUCGCCGGCAGCGGUGAUCUCAAGAGGAAUAAAGUGACAUC
rnacentral:rRNA from 1 species